rnacentral:misc_RNA from 1 species
UUUCCGUAGGUGAACCUGCGGAAGGAUCAUUAAUGUGUUUGGGCCUCACGGCUCUUCAUUCCGACGCUGUGCGCCUUCGGGCUGCACGCUGAGGGAGCAUGUAUCCACCCCUGUGCACACACACGGUGGCGAGCUGGGUAACGGCUCGCCGCUGAUCUUUACACACGUCUAAAAGUCAUUGUAUGUUUAUUUGAGAUAAAAACACAACUUUCAGCAACGGAUCUCUUGGCUCUC